rnacentral:rRNA from 2 species
UCCUACGGGAGGCAGCAGUGGGGAAUAUUGCACAAUGGGCGAAAGCCUGAUGCAGCUAUACCGCGUGUAUGAAGAAGGCCUUAGGGUUGUAAAGUACUUUCGUUGGGGAGGAAAAAUAAAUAGAUAAUACCUGUUUAUCGUGACGUUACCCAAAAAAGAAGCACCGGCUAACUCCGUGCCAGCAGCCGCGGUAAUACGGAGGGUGCAAGCGUUAAUCAGAAUUACUGGGCGUAAAGAGCUCGUAGGCGGUUUUUUAAGUCAGAUGUGAAAUCCCUGGGCUUAACCUAGGAACUGCAUUUGAAACUAAAAGACUAGAGUAUCGUAGAGGGAGGUAGAAUUCUAGGUGUAGCGGUGAAAUGCGUAGAUAUCUGGAGGAAUACCUGUGGCGAAAGCGGCCUCCUAAAUGAAUACUGACGCUGAGGUGCGAAAGCAUGGGGAGCAAACAGGAUUAGAUACCCUGGUAGUCCAUGCCGUAAACGAUGUCGACUUGGAGGUUGUUUCCUUGAGAAGUGACUUCCGAAGCUAACGCGUUAAGUCGACCGCCUGGGGAGUACGGUCGCAAGGCUAAAACUCAAAUGAAUUGACGGGGGCCCGCACAAGCGGUGGAGCAUGUGGUUUAAUUCGAUGCAACGCGAAAAACCUUACCUGGUCUUGACAUCCACAGAAUUUUUCAGAGAUGAAAAAGUGCCUUAGGGAACUGUGAGACAGGUGCUGCAUGGCUGUCGUCAGCUCGUGUUGUGAAAUGUUGGGUUAAGUCCCGCAACGAGCGCAACCCUUAUCCUCUGUUGCCAUUGGUUCGGCCAGGAACUCAGAGGAGACUGCCGGUUAUAAACCGGAGGAAGGCGGGGACGACGUCAAGUCAUCAUGGCCCUUACGACCAGGGCUACACACGUGCUACAAUGGUGUAUACAAAGAGAAGCAACUCUGCAAAGACAAGCAAACCUCAUAAAGUACAUCGUAGUCCGGACUGGAGUCUGCAACUCGAUCCCAGAGG